rfam:Schistosoma mattheei strain Denwood, Zambia genome assembly, scaffold: SMTD_scaffold0005345
ACCCAUCUGACGAGUCCCAAAUAGAACGAAACGCGCAUCCUAGAU